rnacentral:lncRNA from 1 species
GGUGACUGUAUUUGAUAUUGUCCUAGUGAAAAUUGGGUUGGUUGUCCAUUUUCACUGCAUAAUUAAGAUGCAAUAUUAAUUUUAUAUCCAUCAAAAUUCUUAGUCAUUGUCUUUUUGCUAUAAUUUUUGUCAAGCCUUUCACUUUUGUCGAAAAAGCCAGACAUUGCAUUCUGUCGAUGUCGUUCAACUCAACAAUGUCAACAAAUAUUCACUCUGCAGUUAAAGUUUUUAAAAUUUUAAUAACUAUCCUGGAUUUUUACCAAACUUGAUUAUAAGCUUGUUUAUAAUCAUACAAUAG